rnacentral:rRNA from 1 species
UACAGAGGUCUCAAGCGUUGUUCGGAUUCAUUGGGCGUAAAGGGUGCGUAGGCGGCGCGGUAAGUCGGCUGUGAAAUCUCGGAGCUUAACUCCGAAACUGCAUUCGAUACUGCCGUGCUUGAGGACUGGAGAGGAGACUGGAAUUUACGGUGUAGCGGUGAAAUGCGUAGAUAUCGUAAGGAAGACUAGUGGCGAAGGCGGGUCUCUGGACAGUUCCUGACGCUGAGGCACGAAGGCCAGGGGAGCAAACGGG